rnacentral:tRNA from 1 species
GGAGUUGUGCCUGAGCGCCCAAGGGACACUUUGAUAGAGUGCUACACGGAGGCUAGAAUCCUCCCAACUCCU